rnacentral:rRNA from 1 species
AAGCUCGUAGUUGGAUUUCUGCUAAUAUUCUAUGUAAAUGCUUUUGCCUUUACAUGUUGUUAGCCUUCCCCGUAUUACUGCUUCAGUAUGCGGAUUUUACUUUGAGAAAAUUAGAGUGCUUAAAGCAGGCUCUUGCCUUGAAUACUCCAGCAUGGAAUAAUACCAAGGAUUUUUGUCCUUCUUAUUGGUUCUAGGAUAGAAAUAAUGAUUAAUAGGGACAGUUGGGGGCAUUUGUAUUUAACAGCCAGAGGUGAAAUUCUUAGACUUGUUAAAGACAAACUAGUGCGAAAGCAUUUGCCAAGGAUGUUUUCAUUAAUCAAGAACGAAAGUUAGGGGAUCGAAGACGAUCAGAUACCGUCGUAGUCUUAACCAUAAACUAUGCCAACUAGAGAUUGGAGGUUGUUCCUUACUCCUUCAGCACCUUA